UACGUAGGUGGCGAGCGUUGUCCGGAAUUACUGGGUGUAAAGGGCGUGUAGGCGGGAAUGCAAGUCAGAUGUGAAAUUCUGGGGCUCAACCCCGGAGCUGCAUCUGAAACUGUGUUUCUUGAGUGCUGGAGAGGAAAGCGGAAUUCCUAGUGUAGCGGUGAAAUGCGUAGAUAUUAGGAGGAACACCAGUGGCGAAGGCGGCUUUCUGGACAGUAACUGACGCUGAGGCGCGAAAGCGUGGGGAGCAAACAGGAUUAGAUACCCUGGUAGUCCACGCCGUAAACGAUGGAUACUAGGUGUAGGAGGUAUCGACCCCUUCUGUGCCGGAGUAAACACAAUAAGUAUCCCACCUGGGGAGUACGGCCGCAAGGUUGAA
rnacentral:rRNA from 1 species